AUUUAAAUAGCUUAAAAUAAAAGCGUAACAUUGAAGCUGUUAAGAUGAUUAUUUAAAUCUUUAAAUA
rnacentral:tRNA from 1 species